rnacentral:rRNA from 1 species
AGGCCAGCUUGGCGUUGGUUGUCCAAGUUUAAGGUGGUAGGCUGAAAUCUUAGGUAAAUCCGGGGUUUCAAGGCCGAGAGCUGAUGACGAGUCGUCUUUUAGAUGACGAAGUGGUUGAUGCCAUGCUUCCAAGAAAAGCUUCUAAGCUUCAGGUAACCAGGAACCGUACCCCAAACCGACACAGGUGGUCGGGUAGAGAAUACCAAGGCGCUUGAGAGAACUCGGGUGAAGGAACUAGGCAAAAUGGCACCGUAACUUCGGGAGAAGGUGCGCCGGCUAGGGUGAAGGAUUUACUCCGUAAGCUCUGGCUGGUCGAAGAUACCAGGCCGCUGCGACUGUUUAUUAAAAACACAGCACUCUGCAAACACGAAAGUGGACGUAUAGGGUGUGACGCCUCCCCGGUGCCGGAAGGUUAAUUGAUGGGGUUAGCGCAAGCGAAGCUCUUGAUCGAAGCCCCGGUAAACGGCGGCCGUAACGAUAACGGUCCUAAGGUAGCGAAAUUCCUUGUCGGGUAAGUUCCGACCUGCACGAAUGGCGUAACGAUGGCGGCGCUGUCUCCACCCGAGACUCAGUGAAAUUGAAAUCGCUGUGAAGAUGCAGUGUAUCCGCGGCUAGACGGAAAGACCCCGUGAACCUUUACUGUAGCUUUGCACUGGACUUUGAGCCUUGUGUAGGAUAGGUGGGAGGCUUUGAAGCGUGGACGCCAGUUCGCGUGGAGCCAUCCUUGAAAUACCACCCUGGCAUGCUUGAGGUUCUAACUCUGGUCCGUAAUCCGGAUCGAGGACAGUGUAUGGUGGGCAGUUUGACUGGGGCGGUCUCCUCCUAAAGAGUAACGGAGGAGUACGAAGGUGCGCUCAGACCGGUCGGAAAUCGGUCGCAGAGUAUAAAGGCAAAAGCGCGCUUGACUGCGAGACAGACACGUCGAGCAGGUACGAAAGUAGGUCUUAGUGAUCCGGUGGUUCUGUAUGGAAGGGCCAUCGCUCAACGGAUAAAAGGUACUCCGGGAUAACAGGCUGAUACCGCCCAAGAGUUCAUAUCGACGGCGGUGUUUGGCACCUCGAUGUCGGCUCAUCACAUCCUGGGGCUGAAGCCGGUCCCAAGGGUAUGGCUGUUCGCCAUUUAAAGUGGUACGCGAGCUGGGUUUAGAACGUCGUGAGACAGUUCGGUCCCUAUCUGCCGUGGACGUUUGAGAUUUGAGAGGGGCUGCUCCUAGUACGAGAGGACCGGAGUGGACGAACCUCUGGUGUUCCGGUUGUCACGCCAGUGGCAUUGCCGGGUAGCUAUGUUCGGAAAAGAUAACCGCUGAAAGCAUCUAAGCGGGAAACUUGCCUCAAGAUGAGAUCUCACUGGGAACUUGAUUCCCCUGAAGGGCCGUCGAAGACUACGACGUUGAUAGGCUGGGUGUGUAAGCGUUGUGAGGCGUUGAGCUAACCAGUACUAAUUGCCCGUGAGGCUUGACC